UUUGCACGUUCGACGUGGUCAGUCAUUCAAAUAGCGUCAAAUUUGUAUCCGCCCACAAGUGUUGCCAAUAUUUUUGGUCAUUGGUUGGACGGUAUUCCAAAUAGGUUCAAAACGCUAAUAAGGGUGGGAACGUAUGCCUUAAUGUGGUCGCUAUGGCUAUGUAAAAAUGAUUUAGUUUUUAAUGACAAAAAUGCUUCUCCUCUACAGGUUAUUUUCCGGUGUACGCACUCGCUUCUUACGUGGUCUAUACUACAGCGAGCGGAGUACCAACCGUUGUUCAAGGCGGUGUGUACGCGAUUGGAGCAGGUGGCUACGGAGGUUUUUUCCCAACAUGAGUGGCAGCAUAACCUCCGGAUUGACCCACCACCACUUUUGACAUAG
rnacentral:rRNA from 1 species